rnacentral:rRNA from 1 species
UACAGGGGGGGCAAGCGUUGUUCGGAAUUACUGGGCGUAAAGGGCCAGUAGGCGGCCAACUAAGUCAGACGUGAAAUCCCUCGGCUUAACCGGGGAACUGCGUCUGAUACUGGAUGGCUUGAAUCCGGGAGAGGGAUGCGGAAUUCCAGGUGUAGCGGUGAAAUGCGUAGAUAUCUGGAGGAACACCGGUGGCGAAGGCGGCAUCCUGGACCGGCAUUGACGCUGAGGAGCGAAAGCCAGGGGAGCAAACGGG